ACUCAAAUGAAUUGACGGGGGCCCGCACAAGCAGUGGAGCAUGUGGUUUAAUUCGAUGCAACGCGAAGAACCUUACCUGGGCUUGAAAGGCAAGAUUAUAAUUCCUGAAAGGGAGUUACCCGCAAGGGGUCUUGUACAGGUGCUGCAUGGCUGUCGUCAGCUCGUGCCGUGAGGUGUUAGGUUAAGUCCUGCAACGAGCGCAACCCCUACACUUAGUUGCCAUCAGGUAAUGCUGGGCACUCUAAGUGGACUGCCUACGCAAGUAGCGAGGAAGGUGGGGAUGACGUCAAGUCCUCAUGGCCCUUACGCCCAGGGCCACACACGUGCUACAAUGGCCACUACAAAGGGUUGCCAAGGCGCAAGCCGGAGCUAAUCCCAAAAAAGUGGUCUCAGUUCAGAUUGUGGGCUGCAACUCGCCCGCAUGAAGCUGGAAUUGCUAGUAAUCGCAGAUCAGCACGCUGCGGUGAAUACGUUCCCGGGCCUUGCACACACCGCCCGU
rnacentral:rRNA from 1 species